ACAUGUGCUAAUAUGUUUGAUAUUACAUUUAUGAUGUCCUUGUCUUAACUUUUAAGGCAGAGAUUCAAGGCUCUUGAAUCCAGAAUGGAGAAACCAUAAAUGUGUUAGAAUGCUAAUUAGAUGCUUGAGGGUCCCCCAGGUUUGGAGGUGCCCUAGGGAGGGAGAAAGUAGAGGGUGCUAGGCAGCCAGGUAAGUGCAGGAGACCAUCUUUCCUUUCCCCCUUAUUUUAACCUUUUGGGUGUUCUGAGUGGGAAAGGUUCAUUCCUUUUAGAUGGAUGUGGCUUUAAGACAGAAAUGAAUUUAAAGAGAAAUUAUACGGGGAAGUAUUUUUUUCUUGAGUUUGAAAUGCAGGGUGGAAGGGAUGAGAAAUACACCAGGGCAGGAGAACAGCCUUUGGGUGUAGUCUGUGUGCCUGGACUCUUAAAC
rnacentral:lncRNA from 1 species